UCGAGUGCUCCCGCCUCUCUCUCUCUCUCUCUCUCUCUCUCCAUCCCGUGUAUAAAACGGGGAUGAUCCAAGAGGCCGCCGAUCCCUCCCUCGAAUCCUUCUCUCGCUCCCGUGAAAUCACCGCCCAGCGCUGAUCUCUCCAUUCAAAUACAUCCUCUAAAUCGCCACACUUGGCCUUCGGAUCUGGAAACUGUAGAAAGAACGGGACUUUUAGGCGUCUUUCUGGGAGUAAUCGACGGUCUUUGUGGCUUGCUUCUGGAAAGAAAUCAGGUGACGCCUUUGUUUGAUCUCCUAGUCGGGGAGGAAAACUGUGGGAGAGUUGGCUUGAAGUGAUACAAUGGGUAGUCGGUGGAGACGUCUUCAAUUCUGAUAGAAUUUGAGGCGUUUAAGGAUUCUGAUUCGCUGUGUGCAGCUGCAUUGAGUGGAAGAAUCAGUUUAAAAGAUCUUGAAGGUUUGUGGAGCAGAUGCUAAGGGAUCGAAUCUAAGUAUUCUCUUUCCAUUAAUAAGAGAGAGAGAGAGAGAGAGAGAGAGCUCUUUGGAUCCAAGGGAUGUGCCGGUUAGAAAGGACAACAGGAUCUCACUCCUCGGGGGAGAGAUAGAUUGAUCUGAAGCCCGGGGUAAGCGAGUCGAGCACGGACAAGCUGCAGAGCACGAUAGUGUCGAGGCCGAAGAUGAAGCUUUGGGUGAUCCGGAUGACAGCGGUGGUGUUAUUGUGGACGUGCGUUCUCCACCUGAUGGCAUUAGGGGAGAUAUGGAGGCCGAGGGUCUUGAAAGGAUGGCCCUCUUGCUUCACCCCAUCGGAGUCGCCGCUUCUGGUGAAACAAGCCUCUACAGCCGUCGAGAAAAUCGUUCUGCCACCCAAAAGAAUCUACAAAAAUAAUGGGUACCUGAUGGUUUCAUGCAAUGGUGGGCUUAAUCAAAUGCGAUCAGCGAUCUGUGACAUGGUUGCUAUUGCGAGAUAUUUGAAUGUGACACUCAUAGUACCAGAGUUGGACAAGACCUCUUUUUGGAAUGACCCUAGUGAAUUCCAGGACAUAUUCGACCUCGAUCAUUUUAUCACUUCUUUGAGAGAUGAGGUCCGGAUAUUGAAAGAAUUGCCACCUAGGUUAAAAACAAGGGUUGAGCUGGGAAUGUUUUAUUCGAUGCCACCUGUUAGUUGGUCUGAUAUCGCUUAUUACCAAAAUCAGGUUCUUCCUUUGAUACGGAAGCACAAGGUCGUUCAUUUGAAUAAAACAGAUGCUCGGCUAGCUAACAAUGGUCUACCAUUAGAGAUACAAAAGUUACGCUGCAGAGUAAAUUAUGCUUUUCUUAGAUUCACUCCUCAAAUUGAAGAAUUGGGCAGAAGAAUAAUUAAAAUUCUGCAACAGAAUGGCCUUUUUCUUGUUCUCCAUUUACGAUAUGAAAUGGACAUGUUGGCCUUCUCUGGAUGUACUCACGAUUGCACUGAUGAAGAAGCAGAUGAAUUGACAAGAAUGAGAUAUGCUUAUCCCUGGUGGAAAGAAAAAGUCAUCAACUCUGACAAAAAAAGAAAAGAUGGUCUCUGUCCUUUAACACCAGAAGAAACCACUUUGGUAUUGAGGGCACUGGAUAUUGAUCGCAAUGUUCAAAUAUAUAUCGCAGCUGGAGAGAUAUAUGGUGGAGACAGGAGAAUGGCUGCUCUUUUUGCUGCUUAUCCAAAAGUGGUAAAAAAGGAAACUUUACUGGGACCUUCUGAUCUUAGAUACUUCCAGAAUCACUCAUCACAAAUGGCAGCAUUGGAUUACUUGGUUUCGUUAGAGAGUGAUAUCUUCAUUCCUACAUAUGAUGGUAACAUGGCUAAAGUCGUUGAAGGUCAUCGCAGGUACUUGGGCUUCAGGAAGACAAUCUUAUUGGACAGAAGGCUCCUGGUUGAUCUGAUAGAUGAGUACAACAAUGGUACUUUAAGUUGGGAUGAAUUCUCUUUAUCAGUUAAGGCAACUCAUGCUGAUCGAAUGGGAAGCCCCACCAGGAGAGUGGUGAUUCCUGACAGGCCCAAGGAAGAAGAUUAUUUCUAUGCAAACCCCCAAGAGUGUCUCCCACAGCCUGAUAAACCAUCGACUUCAUGAAUUCAUUGAGAUGACACCAUUCCUGUAUAGCUGUUCUUUCCAAGAAUGGCAUUGAUUUGAAACCUUUAUGAAGGUAACCAUUGGAUCAACUGAUGAUAAUGCUGGAUGGUUUCCUUCCCAGGAGGAUACAAACCAAAGAGGUUAGCAAGUUGCGUGUCUUUUCUGAUGCAGCUGGUGAGUACAAAUUUAUACAGUAGAUUUUUUUGUUAAUAUUCUCCAAAUAAAUGCUUGUAUAGAAGGGUGAACGGGAGAAAGGGGAAUGGGGAGAGAGGGGAAGCCUGCUUCACGCAACAUGAAUCAGUAUGUACGAAACAGGAGAUUGAAAUUGAGAGGUUUUAGUGUUUCUAUGGAUUUAGGUUGUGGAAGUUCUAUCUCUGCCUCUGCAAAUUUUGUCAUGAAAAAUCACUCAUAUUCAAGUUUUUCCAUCAUGUUCUACCCCCUAAGAUCUCUCAUUUCCUCAUGUUGGUGUGUGCUCAUUCAGAUGCAUCUAUACAUUCAGAAAUGCUUGUUUCUACCUAUAAAUUAGGAAACCAGGCAAAUUAAAGGCCUUAGCAUAUGGUCAUUACAAGAACUUGGAAUCAUUUUAUGUGUGGACAUUACAAUGUUUGGUUACAAUGAAACCCCAUUUAUAUGGUGCACACAUGAUUGCUGAUUUAACUCGUGGAAUAAACAUGUGAGAUGCAUGAAGUCUUAUCUGAUAAAAAUUCCUUUUCCUACUCAUUGUUACAUUUAGCUAUAGCCAACAUUGUUUACACAUGAGGUACAUGGUAGAGUAGCUACUGCUUAAGCCACCCUGAGCUUCCACAUGCUAAAUACUAAGUACUAUAUCAAACUUAAACUGUGUGUAUGUUCAGCCUAAACCUUUCUAAGUUGUUCUAGAUAUUACAUGGUCAUUAUCUCAUGCUUCGUUUUCAAUUGAGCAUUAUUCAAUUCUAAAGUAAAUUAAUGCUUGACUUGGAUGGUGGGUGGACAUAGACUGAAUCAAUUCUCCUAAGGUUGAAUGAAACUGCACUGUAGUCUAUCUUUCUCUAAUAUUAGUUCUGUAGGUCCACCAGUACUUAAAUAUGUGGCAGUGCCUUGUUAUGAUGGGGUCUAAACUUUGUUUUUGCAGACACUUAAGUCAGUGGUCAAUGAUGGAGCAAAAGGGUGGUGAAUUGGGAGAAGAAAUGGACUUCAAGAACAGAACAAUGUUGGAAGAAGAGUCUUCUGGUUGGUGAUCUAAACAGUCAAUUAUGUGGUUUUAGAAGAAGUUGGAGUUUAGGCUACUCUAAACAGAGGUUCUAGGAUACAAUUUUAGCUUGAAACAUAAGAACACUGAGUCACCUGCUCUCCGAAGAGGUUUCUUAUCUUUUGGGGAAUCAGAACCUUGGUACGGCUGCCAAUGUGAUGAUAGUAUGAUGAAAACAGGUGCUCUCGAUUGCUAAAUGCCACCUAUAUGUGUUCUUGAAACAACCAUAUAUGACAGGCAUGUGAAAAAUCAUUGACUGAGGUUUUUAACUCUAAGUUUGAACUAGCAAACUCUUCAAAGCUUGCCCAGAAGAAAUGACAUUUAUUUCAUGGAAGCUAAAGCUUACAUCAGAAGUCCAUCUCUUGCUUUUCUUGUGCCAACAGAGGCCUGAAAUUUAUCUCAAUACAUGUGAUCAUUUGUUUCUUCUAUGUACCCAUUACAGGCUCUCUUUAAACAAAAGAGACAAAGAUGCUUCUGUCAGUGCAACAUGCAUCAGCAGUACAUUUUAGCUCUGUAGUCGGUGACUCCAUGAUGUUCCAGCAAUGAAUGAU